rnacentral:rRNA from 1 species
CAGCCGCCACGGGAAUACGUAGGGUGCAAGCGUUAAUUGGAAUUACUGGGCGUAAAGCGUGCGCAGGCGGUUAUAUAAGACAGAUGUGAAAUCCCCGGGCUCAACCUGGGAACUGCAUUUGUGACUGUAUAGCUAGAGUACGGCAGAGGGGGAUGGAAUUCCGCGUGUAGCAGUGAAAUGCGUAGAUAUGCGGAGGAACACCGAUGGCGAAGGCAAUCCCCUGGGCCUGUACUGACGCUCAUGCACGAAAGCGUGGGGAGCAAACAGGAUUAGAUACCCCCGUAGUCCCUGUCUCUUAUAA